AGGACUAUAGUUAACAAUAACAUCUGGGUUGCAUUCAGAAAGUACCUUAAGGUUAGUCUUA
rnacentral:tRNA from 1 species